GGGAGGUGUUCCUGCCCCAGCUGCCCGGCUUCCCCCUGGAGCUUGGGGCCGGGGGAGAGCAGCAGAGCUGGGUGCUCUGCUCUGGCAUCGCAGGGACGGCCACAGCAGGUGUCCCUGCGGGCUGGGAAGAGCCCUUUGGUCAUGAGGACAGGGGCAGAGGGACCCCGCGUGUGUGCUGCAACUGUUAGUUGGCUCUUGCUGUAAUUGAUGGACACUGCCAGUUGCUUAGACAGAUGGGAAUUAAUACCGGUGUUCCCAUUAGAACUCACCAUCACAGUCACGCUGGCUUUGCACUGGCUUGAUGCGUGCAAGAGAGUGCGUGUGGAAGGAGCAAGUGGGGUUCCUGCCUGCAGUACUUGUCUUCCAGGGUGUUGGACCCAUCCAUCCAACACAGAGCAGAUGAGCUGCUUGCCAGCUUGCAGAACACAUAGCUUUGAGGUGGUGUGGAAAAUGCUUCUUUCCUGGAUGCUGAGAGAUCGUGGUGAGUGGGACUCUCAUCCGGAGAGGUGUUUGUGA
rnacentral:lncRNA from 1 species